rnacentral:rRNA from 1 species
UACGGGGGGGCUAGCGUUACUCACAAGGACUGGGCGUAAAGGGUUUGUAGGUGGCUUUAAAAAGUUGAAUAAAGAAAAGAAUUGUGCUCAACCUUAGAUAUUUUUUGAAAAACUUUAAAGCUUGGGAGUUUAAAAGAGAAUAGCAGUAUCCUUAAAGUAGAGGUGAAAUUCAUCAAUAAUAAUGGAGACUAUCAAUAGGUGAAGACGGGCUAUUUGGGUUAAACUGACACUAAGGGACUAAGGCACAGGUAGCAAACAGGU